CGAUUUUCGCAAUGCCCGAAAGGGUGACGAAGCGACGCCGCGUGCGGGAAGAAGGCCUUCGGGUUGUAAACCGCUGUCGGGAGUUAGGAAGUGCAAGGAUGUUAAUAGCGUUCUUGCUUGACUAAGGCUCCGGAGGAAGCCACGGCUAACUCUGUGCCAGCAGCCGCGGUAAUACAGAGGCGGCAAGCGUUGUUCGGAAUUAUUGGGCGUAAAGAGCACGUAGGCGGCUGUGUAAGUCGGUUGUGAAAGCCUUCCGCUUAACGGAAGAACGGCAUCCGAUACUGCAUAGCUUGAGUGCGGGAGGGGAGAGUGGAACUUCUGGUGGAGCGGUGAAAUGCGUAGAUAUCAGAAGGAACACCGGCGGCGAAGGCGACUCUCUGGUCCGUAACUGACGCUGAGUGUGCGAAAGCUAGGGGAGCAAACGGGAUUAGAUACCCCGGUAGUCCUAGCCGUAAACGAUGGGCACUAAGUAGAGGGGUUUU
rnacentral:rRNA from 1 species